CCACACUGUACAAUGUCUCCUUUGCCUUCACCUUGGCUCUGGGAUCUCACUCCAGUGCCAGAACAAACUCCUUCAUGCAGAAAGGCCGGGCCUCACGUUGAUCUGACCUUUCCAAGAGUUGGGUUCAAAU